ensembl:lncRNA
GUCAGCCUGGGGAUGACGCUCGGCAGUGACAGAGACCGGCAGCCCGCUGUGUCACUGGCUGGCACCCAGCACUAUCCAGUGUGACUUGCGGACGAUAGGAGCUGCACUUGGCCAGUUCAUGACUCUGUCUGCGUGGAGCAGAGAAGCCUGGGCUGAGGGCCACAUCGUGUGUAGCUUGUGUCCCAGGCAGAAGCAGCGGCGGCACUGACCACUCCCCACAUGGGCGUCCUGCGCUGUCUCUCGGGGUGCCUGUCCCGAUACACUGUCACUUUGACAGCUGCUCCCAUGUCCCGCCACUUCACCAGUGAGGGCAGAACCAGGUAUUUCAAACAGUGUAACUGACACACACAAGGUGCAGGUCCUGAGGCGAAGUGGAACACCAUGCACACCCCGAUUCCAACAGGGCAGAGCUGCCUCCGCCUCUCUGCUCCUCCACCCAGACUACCGCAUUUCUUCAUGGCGAUUGCUUUGCAUUGUAGAGUUCUGUAUUAAGUAGGAUCCCACAGCGCCUACCCUCUCAUCUGGGUUUGCCAUUUAGCACAGGUGUUUUGAGGUUUGUGCAUGUUGCCUCUCUCAGUGACUCAGGUUUUACUGCUGAGAGGUGCAUCAUUGGACUGACACACCAGUUUGUUCAUCUACUCAUUUAUUGGCCAGUGUUUGGUUGUUUACAGUGUGGGGCUGUUACAGAUCCAGUAGCCGUGGACAUUUGUGUUCAAGUCUCGUGUGGGUAUCUAUCUUCUUUUCUCUUGGGAAGUGCCCAUGAGUGGCCUGACUGCACCAUUUGCUGGUGAAGCUUGGUGGUGAGCAUUUCCCCACCACCUGCGAAGUCCUGGGUCCCAUCCCUAGCACUGCAGAAAAGCACCGGAGAGGUCAUCAGACUGUUCGACACCUGGCAGCGUCCGAGAGCACAGGACCCGAACUCACUCGCCCGGCUGUCCCAUGAAGAGGACCGUAACACUGAUCACGCCAAGGCAGGCUGUGCAGUUAGCCCCACAACUGGCUUGUUUAUAGAACUGAGUCUGGCUGAAGCCUACGUGCCGAGGUCAGGGUAACUCGCACCCGAAUUCCAUUCCCACAACCAAAGCCUUCUGACUAGGACAGUGUACUAAUUACAACCAUAUAUUUUGUCUAUUCUGCGCCUAAUUUGAGACUGCUUUGUCUUGUCCUUUAAGAGCCUUGUUUACAUUAAUUUCCAUAGAAACCACACAUCGCCUUCACCCCAGUUGAUUGCCAAUAAAAGUCAGUGCUGGGCCUGGCCAGGCCUUUGUCGGUUGCACCGGCAUUGGUGGUCCUGGAAGCCCGCUUUCUCUCUCUCAGUUCUGUCUCUCAGUGCAUUCUUUUUCUCAGGCUUGCGCCACACACUGGCCAGGCGGGUACUGGAACCUGACUGCAGGGGUCUCUGGCUGUCUCAGUCUCUGAGAGCAGGCAGCGCUGGGCUGGAUUGGCUGGCGAUGCCCGAGCCUGGGUCUGAGAAGAGGCCGCUGCUCCUUCCCAGGGUCUUCCCUGCGGCUUCAGGGGCAACUUCUGCUAUGUAAACAGAUGAGCCAGUAGCAACACAACUCAUGCUCUUUCCUCUGUAAUCAGACAGGAGACAACGCCGAGCAAGCAGGAAGCGCCUCUCGUCAGUGCAUCAGGACGCCUCUGCUGGCAAAGUU